CCUACGGGUGGCAGCAGUGAGGAAUAUUGGUCAAUGGGCGGAAGCCUGAACCAGCCAAGUAGCGUGCGGGAUGAAGGCCCUACGGGUCGUAAACCGCUUUUGCACGGGGAUAACACCCUCCACGUGUGGCGGUCUGCAGGUACCGUACGAAUAAGGACCGGCUAAUUCCGUGCCAGCAGCCGCGGUAAUACGGAAGGCCCGAGCGUUAUCCGGAUUCAUUGGGUUUAAAGGGUGCGUAGGCGGGCGUUAAAGUUAGCGGGAAAAUGUCGGGGCCCAACCGCGACCCGCAGUUAAAACUGGAGGACUUGAGAACAGAACAGGUAGGCGGAAUGCGUGGUGUAGCGGUGAAAUGCAUAGAGAUCA
rnacentral:rRNA from 1 species